GCCUGGCUGGCUCAGUUGGUGGAGCGUGUGACUCUUGAUCUCGGGGUUGUAGGUUCGAGCCCCACACUGGGUG
rnacentral:tRNA from 1 species